UGAGCAGGAGAACAGGGGGUAGCUGCUUGUCUGGUCCUCUAGAGCCCUGUGUCCCUGCUCCCCACUGCAGAGCUAUGUAUGGGCACUGCUCGGAGAGCCCUGUGUCCCCCCCACUUUAGUUUGCUCCUCUCUUCGUGCCUGGUUCCCAUAGGAGCUGAGUGUGCUUUGCUAUUAUAGCACUAAAUAUGAUGUGAGACCUUCAGCUGCGGCACCUCAGGGUGCAUGGUGUGGGUUCAGGCCAGCCAAAGCAGUGCUGGGCUGUACACCUAAAGGAGUCACUGAAGCCAGAGCUCAAGACACAGGGAAAACAUCUCCGAUCCCAAAGUACAUCGUGUGGAACUGCCAAUCCAUCAGCCUGUCUGAGGCUUUCAAGGACGGUGUGACACAAUAUGGACUACCUACAAUGAAGACAUAUGAACUCGGGAGCAUACCAAACAAAUUCCUUGCAUACUUGUUUUCCAGCAAAGCAUCAAUCACCACAGGGAUGGGAGAGUGUCCAAAACAGCAGGAGAAAAUGCUACAGCUUGCAGUUCUUGGAUUGUAAUUCAUUUAAAGCCAGACACAUUAGCUGUACCACUAACAUCAGAUACAAAUCUCUGUCCUCCUUUUAAGCGCAUCUACUAUCUAAAAACAUUGAGAUUCGAUAUUUAAAGUUGUCCAGUGUAGAUCCUCAGCUGGUGUAAAGUGGCAUAACUGUGCUCAACAGCUGCUCCUGGUCUUUGAAGACAAUGGAGCUAUGCUGAUUUACAUCUGCUGCAGGAAGAUCUAUCACUCUAUUUGCUUGGCUUUUUCUUUGGUGGCUUGUUUUUCUUUUCCUUUUCCUUGACAAAAUAAAUGGUGUAAUUCCUAGCUUUUA